rnacentral:rRNA from 1 species
GUGGCUUCCGGAGCUAACGCGUUAAGUAGACCGCCUGGGGAGUACGGCCGCAAGGUUAAAACUCAAAUGAAUUGACGGGGGCCCGCACAAGCGGUGGAGCAUGUGGUUUAAUUCGAUGCAACGCGAAGAACCUUACCUGGUCUUGACAUCCACAGAACUUUCCAGAGAUGGACUGGUGCCUUCGGGAACUGUGAGACAGGUGCUGCAUGGCUGUCGUCAGCUCGUGUUGUGAAAUGUUGGGUUAAGUCCCGCAACGAGCGCAACCCUUAUCCUUUGUUGCCAGCGGUUAGGUCGGGAACUCAAAGGAGACUGCCAGUGAUAAACUGGAGGAAGGUGGGGAUGACGUCAAGUCAUCAUGGCCCUUACGACCAGGGCUACACACGUGCUACAAUGGCGCAUACAAAGAGAAGCGACCUCGCGAGAGCAAGCGGACCUCAUAAAGUGCGUCGUAGUCCGGAUUGGAGUCUGCAACUCGACUCCAUGAAGUCGGAAUCGCUAGUAAUCGUGGAUCAGAAUGCCACGGUGAAUACGUUCCCGGGCCUUGUACACACCGCCCGUCACACCAUGGGAGUGGGUUGCAAAAGAAGUAGGUAGCUUAACCUUCGGGAGGGCGCUUACCACUUUGUGAUUCAUGACUGGGGUGAAGUCGUAACAAGGUAACCGUAGGGGAACCUGCGGUUGGAUCACCUCCUUACCUUAAAGAA